AUUGAACGCUGGCGGCAGGCUUAACACAUGCAAGUCGAGCGAGCGGCGGACGGGUGAGUAAUGUCUGGGAAACUGCCUGAUGGAGGGGGAUAUCUACUGGAAACGGUAGCUAAUACCGCAUACCAUCAGAUGAGCCCAGAUGGGAUUAGCUAGUAUGUGGGGUAAUGGCUCACCUAGGCGACGAUCCCUAGCUGGUCUGAGAGGAUGAAAAGCCACACUGUGACUAAGACACGUUCCAGACUCACCCGGAAGGCAGCAGUCGGGAAUAUUGCACGAUGGGCGCAAGCCUGAUGCAGCCAUGCCGCGGGUGUGAAGAAUGUCGUCGGAUUGUAAAGCACUUUCAGCGAGGAGGCGUUACUCGCAGAAGAGGCACCGGCUAGCUCCGUGCCAGCAGCCACAGUAGUAC
rnacentral:rRNA from 1 species